rnacentral:lncRNA from 1 species
AUGCGUCGCUUCGAACCCUGCAGACUCCAGGAAGACUGGGCGGGGUUCCAGCCCCAGAGCCGGACGCGAAACAGCCGGGGGGGGGGGGUGGGGGGGGGGCGGGGGGCGGGGCCCGGCCACUGCAGCUCCGGACAGAAGCGGGCGCUGCGGGGCAGGCCAGGACCGCGGCUCCGCCCGCGCCAACCUCUGGGUCCCUGGGCGGAAGCAAACGCGUUUCCAAGAGUUUCCAACCUUGGCCUGAGAGCACCAUCUCUAACCUCAACCCAGGAAAGACCUCGCCAGAGGAUACACCCAGAACACAAACCUGUCCCUCUCCUGGUAAAUUCUUCAUGCUCCAGCCAUUUCCAACAGGCAAGUUGCAUGUCAGCUCCUGAGCUCCCAAACCUCACGUCUGCUCUCACUUUGCCUUUCCUUCCACCAGAGGAGUUCUACUCCACUUCUCCACUUGCUUCACUCCUUGAGGUCUUUGAAGACCAGAGUCAAAAUGUCUCCUUCUCUGGAAAGCCUUCCCUGGUGCCCCCUCCUCCGUACUUCCACAGGCCUUGCCACAAUUCAUGUUCUGUUAUGAUUACCUCGAUCUGUACCCAUCUCCCCAACUUGAUUCCGAGCCCUUUGAG